rnacentral:lncRNA from 1 species
CGCUUCUGCUGGAUGACACAUGAAGGCCAUGUGUGGCCCAGCAGACCAUCUGAACACAGAGGUACUUCAGUGGCUCAACUGGGACAUGUCUCUGCACAUCACACAUUCCCUGUUAGGAAUCAGCCUCUUUCUAAGGGAAACUGGACUGAUUAGUACCCAUUUGCUGGGUUCUGCUGCAUUAUGACACUAACAUGUGGCAUCAUUUCAAACCAGGUGGGAUUUUCUUUAAAGCAAUCUUUGGUGACAAAAAAA